rnacentral:lncRNA from 1 species
CGGCGCCAUCAGCAGCAGUAGCACAGCCCCCCCCCCCACCCAACCCUAUCAUAACAUGGGAUGUAGUCUCAGCAGCGCCGACCCCUGGCACCAUAUCUGCACUCGCAUGGACUUUCACCCGUGCCUCUCCAAAAUUAAGGCAUUCCGAGCCUGCUUUCUUCCUGUGCCAUCCCUGAGUGAUUGCAUAUCACCACAGCUCAGUUUUCCAAGCUUUUGUUGUGGGUUUUUUUUUUUUCCCUCCUUCAGGAGAGCAAUGGGGAAGGCGCCUGGAACAGGCAGAGGAGGCUGGCUGGGCUCUGCUGCUUCCCAACAGCUCAGUGCAGCUCCCAGAGGAGAUGAACAAGUUAGUCACUCACUGAGCUCACAGCUGAAGCAUCUCAGCCUCCAUGAGAAUUUGUCACCAGCCCUUCCUGGGCUGCUGAGUACCCAGAAGAAGGGGAGAGACUGGGGAUUUGGGGGAUAUGCUUCCUGUGCUGGCUGACGGCGCGGGCAGCAACCACUGCGAGGUCAUGGGGCUGUUCUUCACCUCAAGGAGCAAGGGUGGCAUGGAGCUCACCAGUGCUUAUGGUCCCAACUGAUUCCCACUGCAUAGGAGUUUGUAUGUUGAGAAAGGGGGCGCCAGGGAGCUUUCUAGGGAUUUCCCUAUGAGAUUCGGGAGCUGGGAGUUUUCCCCAGUUUCCACCCGUCCUUGCAGCAAUGCCUUUUGCUCACGUGCUCCUCCCAGGGUCAUAAGUGGUUCUUAAAAAAAAAGCAACAGCCCACACAAUGCUCUUCCCUUCCCUAGCCGGGUGCUGCUGACGAGAUACCUCAUCCGGUCCUGAGGGUACAGAAUUAGCCCUCCACAUGGGAAAGGCCCUGCCAAUCCUGGCCACCAGCUUCAACACCCCAGGGCUACGAGGUCAGCAGCACGUCACUGCUAUGCAUCCUACACGUGUAUCCUCCAGUCCCUUCCAAAGGCCUGAUGCAAGAUGUUGCUAUUCCUACUCUGCUUGUGGGAUUUCUUGGAGGUCACAUUGCUGGUGCUGAUGUCAAGUGAUGUUUUCCUUGACGUGCAAGGUGUUCAAUCACUGCUUCAAGCUGUGACUUAGCAUUUCUGCUACACCACUCAGGAGCACAACUCAACCCAACCAAAAUGGCCACGUCAACCCAACACGAGUGACAACCUAACCCAACACAAACUAAAUCGUGCAACCAAAUACAACCCAAUCAAAUAUACCUCAGUGAUGCAACCCAAACCAGCCUGAGUGAUGCAGCCCAGCCCAGCUCAACCCAGCUUAACAAAACAAAAUCGUGCACAGCACAGCAUGAUCCAGGAGGACCUUUUAGAGAGGUCCAGGGGAGAAGGGUCCAUGACUGUAGCUCCCCUUGCUGCAAGGCUGUUGCAACAAAACAGCAGUAAGAGCAAAACAACUUGUACCAACCAGGACUGCACCUCUAUACUGUGAAUGACUGAAAGGUGGCUGAGUGUUGAAGACAUGAGGUGGAUUUUCUAAUAAUUUAAGUUAAUUUAAGCCUCCUUCCCCUCCUAAUCCUCCCUUUCCAUGGACAAAGUCACCUCCAAAUGUCUGUCUCUCGCAGUGAUACUGGACAGUGUGUUUCAAGGUGAUUGAAGAACCAGCCAAAGGGGCAGAGCCCAAAUCCCCUUGGGGACUUGCAGUCAGCGCAGAGAGCUGAUCUGCCUGGUGCCAAGGAAUGCAUCACGUACCCAUGAAAACAGGAAUAAAUAAUUAUUUUUUUGACUUGUUUCAAUCUUUUAAAAGUUAAUCUAAUCCUCUGCCUCUUCUUUUUUUGUUUUUUUUUUCUUUUUUUCUUUUUUUUCUUUUUUUCUGGUUAUUCGAAG